rnacentral:misc_RNA from 1 species
GAAAUGCGAUAAGCAAUGUGAAUUGCAGAAUUCAGUGAAUCAUCGAAUCUUUGAACGCACCUUGCGCUCCUUGGUAUUCCUUGGAGCAUGCCUGUUUGAGUAUCAUGAAAUCUUCAAAGUAAAUCUUUUGUUAACUCAAUUGGUAUCUACUUUGGUAUUGGAGGUCUUUGCAGCUUCACACCUGCUCCUCUUUGUUCAUUAGCUGGAUCUCAGUGUUAUGCUUGGUUCCACUCGGCGUGAUAAGUUAUCUAUCGCUGAGGACACUGUAAAAGGUGGCCAAGGUAAAUGCAGAUGAACCGCUUCUAAUAGUCCAUUGACUUGGACAAUACUUUUAUGAUCUGAUCUCAAAUCAGGUAGGACUACCCGCUGAACUUAAGC